rnacentral:rRNA from 1 species
CCUACGGGGGGCAGCAGUGAGGAAUAUUGGGCAAUGGCCGUAAGGCUGAACCAGCCAAGUCGCGUGAAGGAAGAAGGAUUUAUGGUCUUUAAACUCUUUUUAUAGGGGAAUAAAGGUAUACACGUGUGGAUAUUUGCAUGUACCCUAUGAAUAAGCAUCGGCUAACUCCGUGCCAGCAGCCGCGGUAAGACGGAGGAUCCGAGGGUUAUCCGGUUUGAUUGGGCUUAAAGGGUGCGUAGGCGGUUUGAUAAGUUAGAGGUGAAAUGUCGGGGCUCAACCCCGAAACUGCCUGUAAUACUGUUAGACUAGAGAAUAGUUGCGGAAGGCGGAAUGUAUGGUGUAGCGGUGAAAUGCGUAGAGAUCAUACAGAACACCGAUUGCGAAGGCGGCUUUCCGGACUAUAACUGACGUUGAGGCACGAAAGCGUGGGUAGCAAACAGGAUUAGAUACCCCUGUAGUC